rnacentral:rRNA from 1 species
AGAGUUUGAUCCUGGCUCAGGAUGAACGCUAGCGACAGGCUUAACACAUGCAAGUCGAGGGGCAGCGGGGUAGUAAGCUUGCUUACUACUGCCGGCGACCGGCGCACGGGUGAGUAACACGUAUGCAACCUGGCCGUCACAGAGGGAUAACCGGGAGAAAUCCCGCCUAAUACCGCAUAAUACCGGGGAAGGACAUCCUUUCCCGGUCAAAGGAGCGAUCCGGUGACGGAUGGGCAUGCGCCGCAUUAGUUAGUUGGCGGUGUAACGGACCACCAAGACGACGAUGCGUAGGGGUUCUGAGAGGAAGGUCCCCCACACUGGUACUGAGACACGGACCAGACUCCUACGGGAGGCAGCAGUGAGGAAUAUUGGUCAAUGGGCGAGAGCCUGAACCAGCCAAGUCGCGUGAGGGAAGACGGUCCUAUGGAUUGUAAACCUCUUUUGCCGGGGAGCAAAAAGCGGUACGUGUACCGCAUCGAGAGUACCCGGAGAAAAAGCAUCGGCUAACUCCGUGCCAGCAGCCGCGGUAAUACGGAGGAUGCGAGCGUUAUCCGGAUUUAUUGGGUUUAAAGGGUGCGCAGGCGGCGAGUUAAGUCAGCGGUAAAAUUUCGGGGCUCAACCCCGACGAGCCGUUGAAACUGGCUUGCUAGAGUGGGCGAGAAGUAUGCGGAAUGCGUGGUGUAGCGGUGAAAUGCAUAGAUAUCACGCAGAACUCCGAUUGCGAAGGCAGCAUACCGGCGCCCAACUGACGCUCAGGCACGAAAGCGUGGGUAUCGAACAGGAUUAGAUACCCUGGUAGUCCACGCAGUAAACGAUGAGCACUAAUUGUCCCGGUCCCAAGUGA